CCGCGAUAUCAUGACCUGAGCUGAAGUCGGCUGCUUAACCAACUGAGCCACCCAGGCGCCCCUAAAAGGAUUCAUUUUAAUGUGAAUCUGCUGCCUGCCACAUCUACUCUGAGGUCCAUGCAAUGAGGUCAAGAGGAUUAUGCUCAACAUUCUAUUAUGCUUCUGUUUUUCUGGCUCACUCAGAGAUCAUCCAGAAUAAGAGGCUGGAAAUACGUUGAUAAAACAUAGCACAUGACAUACCCACAGAAAAAUGAAUUGCAUGUCUGCUUACCUGAUUUUGCUUACUAUGGGCAUCUUCAAUCAGUCUAAGGUACCUGGUAUAGAAACACUAAAAAAGUCAACAAUUUAAUGCUGUUUGAAAAAAAAUUGACUGGCUACUCCCAUCAUUUGUUUUUGUCUGCAUCUAGAUAAUUUCAUAUAUCUGGAUGAAAAGGAACAAAUUCUACCAAC